CAGUAGGGAAUCUUCGGCAAUGGGGGCAACCCUGACCGAGCAACGCCGCGUGAGUGAAGAAGGUUUUCGGAUCGUAAAGCUCUGUUGUAAGAGAAGAACGUGUGUGAGAGUGGAAAGUUCACACAGUGACGGUAACUUACCAGAAAGGGACGGCUAACUACGUGCCGG
rnacentral:rRNA from 1 species